UACGAAGGGGGCUAGCGUUGCUCGGAAUUACUGGGCGUAAAGGGCGCGUAGGCGGGUGUUUAAGUCAGAGGUCAAAUCCCAGAGCUCAACUCUGGAACUGCCUUUGAUACUGGACACCUAGAGUACGGGAGAGGUGUGUGGAACUCCGAGUGUAGAGGUGAAAUUCGUAGAUAUUCGCAAGAACACCAGUGGCGAAGGCGGCUCACUGGCCCGGUACUGACGCUGAGGUGCGAAAGCGUGGGGAGCAAACAGG
rnacentral:rRNA from 1 species